CCGACCUCUUCUCUUCUGUCCGCCUGCAGGGCUCGCGCCCGCACACGCUUGACCGCCGGCGGGUGAAGGAGUCGGGGCCGGAUCCGGCGGCUUGUCGUCGCGCUUAUGGAUCCAUACCGCAUCAAUCGCGACUGGGUGGUGCCUGCGGCCCCAUCUCGACUCCCGCCGUUGUCACCGACCCAGGCCUCCGGCCUCGACCUCAAUUCCUUCCUGUUCCUCCCCAUCAAGCAGGUCGUCGCGCUUCACUAACGUUGACCUCGAGCGGCAGAGCCGUCCCCCGACCUCAAUCUUCAGUGGCAGCGUCCAGCAUAUCCAGCCAUAUUGUCCACCGGCGGUGCCAUCAGAUUCUCCUGCGACCUCAACCUCCUGUGGCAUCGUCUAUCAUAUAUCUAGCCAUAUCGUCCGCCGGCGGUGCCACCAGAUUCAGCGUCCACAUGUGCGGUGCGAUUGCCGUCCUAGAUGGCUUCCGCACAUCCAUGCCUUUCCUACAGGUACAACCAGCCUUUCCUCAUUCACAAUAUGCCUAGGCUAGAGAUGGAGGCCUUUCCCCAUGCGAGAAUCACCCAAGACAUGGCGAUGGUUAUGGUAGAUACACUCGAUUUAAUAUGUGAGUUCCAUAGUAUACCUAUUUUUUUUACUUGUCCUAGGUAUUCCAAAUAAAUUGAGAAUUCUCUUAUUUAUUUUAUGUAUCAUUUAAUUGCUUUUCGAAGUGCACAUUGUAUGUUGGUGAUACAUUUUUUAUUGAAUUCUUUCUCUUUUAGACUUUUACUGGAUUGAGCAGAACAAAAAAGAAUAGACGUUUUUGUUUAGUUUAUAACAGAGAAAGGAACUUGGAAGGCGAAUCAGUUUUGUCAUAGUAAUUGAUGCUAAGUAUCUUGUGCAUUUAACUUUGAGGGGAAACCGCACCCAUACAAAUUCAAGAAUCAAUUAUCUAACCAGGUUUACUAAACAUCCAUGCAUUUCUCUUGCUUAUUUUGCAUAUUCAUUACUAUUUUGAGAUUUGGUUGUGAUAACCAACGGGAGGAAGGAGAAGAUCGCCUCCAGCAUGCUGAGACCUCAAGGCAACUCAAGAGCAGAUUGCCAAUGGAAGCUACACCAUCCUGCUCCAGCCGGAUCUGGAGGCCGGCGCACCAUGAUUCACCAAGGGCACCGUCGUGAGGUUCGUGCAGCACACUGGAGGUUCGGGAGCGCGUGAUGACCAUCAUGUCCAAGAUACUGCAGCUUGAGGACACCAUAGCCGUCCAGAGCAAUGAUAUCUCGGGUUGAAAUCUGCAGAAGGCCAUGACCGCUUAACUCCGUGGAAGUACAUCCUCUUCUCCUCUGAUGUUGAUGUGAAAUCUCCUUCUACAAGGUAACUAGACAAUCCAUUCCUACAAAUUUGCAAGCUUUGUUUCUUUCAAGUCUUCCACUCAGCCCCAGACAAUAUUUCAUUGAAUCUAUGAAUUUUCUCCUGAACUGAUAGAUGCAGUUGCAGGUCAAAACAUUGUGAUAUGAGGUAAUGGAAAUAUUUAUGGAGGAAAUUUACUUUUACAUAUCGUAUAGGUUAUCUUUAUCUAAAUCAUGUGGUCCUUUUUCAGUUAUGAGUUGCAGUAGUACUACAUGAAGAUUAUAAAUUAGGUACGAUUGUUUCUGCUUUCUAAUUCAUGAGUACCUGCGUACAAACUCAGUAUCUAUUUUCACCAUGUCAUGGCACGGCAACCGUGGGGAAAAUAUGA